AAACUUUCAACAACGGAUCUCUUGGUUCGGGCAUCGAUGAAGAACGCAGCGAAAAUGCGAUAAGUAAUGUGAAUUUGCAGAACUCAGCGAAUCAUCGAAUCUUUGAACGCACAUUUGCGCCCCGAGAGUAUUCUCCCCGGGGCAUGCCCUGUUCGAAGCGUCAUUU
rnacentral:rRNA from 1 species